GGAGGGUGCAGGGGGAGGUGCAGGGAUUCAACUGUUGGCACAAAUGUGGCUUGCCGUCGGGCAUGCGAUGAAAGCUUGGCUUCCUGUCACCAUGGAGACGCCUCCCUGCCACAAUGCUUCUGUCUCAUUACGGAUUCUUCCCAAACGUCCUGGAAGUGAUGUUUGGUCUUGCCAGACAAUGUGGGAUGGAGUUCAGACCUCCUGGAGAAAGAGUCUGCGGUCCAGCUGAGGGCCAAUGGCGCAGGACUAAUCCUGGUUGUUUUAGCAACCGACCAGCUGCUGCCUGUCUCCCACCAUAAAAGUCAUUCAGACUCUCAUUUUUCUUUUGACUUUUGUACUAAUCACUGUCUUUUCAUAUUCAUCACACAUAUAGACUUUAAGCCCUCAUUCUUGCACAUCUGUGUUUUGGAGAGGUAAUCUGAGUGUAGCUGUUACUCAUUUGAUAGGAGCUGGGAUGUGAUAAUAUUCUGCAAUAGGAAUAAGUCAGAUUUUCCCAAACCCCUCAGAAAUGCUCUGUUUCUUUGUCAGAGUCACAUUUAUAUAUACAUUUAUAUGAAU